rnacentral:lncRNA from 1 species
AUUAAAGGUAUAGUAACUCUCUACUAAUGGUUAAGGGUGUGGUAUACAAAAAUAAGUAAUCAAAGUGUAUGUUUAAAUUUCCUAGAAUUAAUAUACCAAUACUCAGCUUGCUGCCAUCAUUUACAAAUAGCAUUAAAUCUUGCAAACUAUGUGAGCUGUUGUGAUAAGUUUCUUUCUUUUUUUUAAGAUGCAGGAUGACCCUAAAGGACUGUGAGUUGCUCACCAUUGUACCAGUUAAUUUAAAAUGCUAUCAUGGCAUAUAACAAGCAUCUUCAAUAGCAACCUGACUGACUGGAACACUUCUAUUAUUCCUACUGUUGUUCUUUGACUUUUUUUCGUUUAAUAAUUUGAUGUAAUUAGAUUAGCACUCCUUCACCUCACACACAUUAGUUUAUCAUAGACCAAUUAUUGUAGAUCACUUACACCAGGCUUCUGGAUAUCUCCUAUUUCAUCAUGGUCACAUGUAUGUAAACUAUAACAUGUGGUUGUUGUCUAUUUAGAGGUCAUUCAAUUUCUAAGAAGAGGGGGCAUCCAGAAGGUUAGACGUUUAAGUCAUAAACCUUCAUAGAGGCUUUGUUUUCAAUGUGCUGUAAUUAUUUAUUCUGUAGAAAAGUUCAGUAUUGGACAAAAAAAAUCAAAUUAGUGGAUUACUGAAAGAUAUUGAUCAUUAUUUGAUGGGUUUCAUAACUAAGUUGUCACUGUGUUACUUGAAGAUCAGGUUAUGAUGAUACUGUGACAGCUUGUGUGACUCUGAAGACAAGGCUUUAAUGAUACUGUUACAGUUUGUGUUACUCUGAAGAUGAAUUAUAAUAAUACUGUAAUAUUCUUUUACUCUGAAGACAAGGUUAUGAUGAUACUCUAACAGUUUUUAUUACUUUGAAGACAAGGUUAUGAUGAUACUCUAACGGUUUUUAUUACUUUGAAGACAAGGUUAUGAUGAUACUCUAACAGUUUUUAUUACUUUGAAGAUAAAGGUUAUGAUGAUAGUGUGACAGCUUGUGUUACUCUGAAAACAAGGUUUGAUGAUCCAGUGAAAGCUUGGGUGUUUCAGUAAGCGCAGCAAGGUUAUUAUGGUAAUACACUAUACUCCCGUGUUUUACCAUUUGUGUUAAUAAGGUUUUAAUGGUGCAAUGUAAAUAUGUUUUAUUCGUAUCUGCAAGCCAGUUUAUACUGAAAGAAGUAGUGUAACUUGUGUUAAUUUUUGUGCGCAUUACGUUGUGAUGAUGAUGAUGAUGUGAUUUAAAUUGAAAGUGUAUUUUCCUGUUAUUUUGUGGUAUGAAAAGAACGACAUCAGGUAAUAUUUUUGUUACUACUAUUUUAUUUCACGUAAUCAAAACGUUUUGAAUCUCGGUAUUAUUCUCUUGAAAAACCUUAAAAUUCACAAACCACUCUUUAUAUUUAAAAUUUUCACUGACCAACUACUAACCAGCUUUUUGGUUUUUAUUAUACUAUUCUUGCUUACUGUUAUAAGGUAAUUUAUUAUUCAGUUACUCGAGGCAAAUUGCUAUGUCCUAAUCGAACUUGCAACAGUGGAUGUGAUGUGCAUAGCAAACACACUUUUACAUUCAAAGGAAUUAUUUAAGUAUACAGCUACAUUGUGUUUAAGCGCAUCAAAUUUACGUUUUGAACUUUAUCAUUUAAAGUUAUGAUCUUGAACUUUUUAUGACGUGUAGUAGUGCUCUUAUGUAAUUUAGCAAUGUCGUUAUUUUUAACUUUUUACUUCUGAGUGGAGUAAUGUUUUCGCCGGUGUCCGUACAUAAAUAUUGAUAGAUUUCUCUGUAGUAACUCGUGAAGGCUAUUUACUAAUUUGUUUUCUUCAUCAUAAGUUAAAGGACUGUUACUGUUGAAUGGACAAAUUGCUGGGAAUCCCGCCAUUAAGAAUGUUCACGCAUUAUUACGUUAUUUUUAUGUACAUAUGUGUACUUGUGAGUAUCUGCAUACAAAGUGUGAAAAUGAAUUAUGUACUUUAUCGGAAAUAAUUGUAAACCAUGAAAAUGACCAAUUAGAAAUAAUAUAAAAGUAAUGUAACACCCAGCUAUGUAUUUCGCUUAGUGUAUAUAUAUAAAUAAAUAUGAUUAUACAUGAAACAUUUAAACAUUUAUGUUAGUAAUUCUUUUAAUUGCAGUAACGCUCUAGACGUGAUGAGUUAACCCUAAAUAAAAGUGGAGUAGGAAGUAAGGAUAUUUAUUAUAACCUUGACUCUUAGUAUUUUAUUUAAUGAAUGUUAGCUUUAAGGAUUCAUCCGAAAACAAAAUAUAUUUUGAGGUCUCAUCGAUCUGUAAAGCAACUGUAUCCUAUUGAUCAACCAGCAGUCUGUUUCUCUUAACGCGCACACGAUAGUUUUGUGGGUGGUCAGAAUUGUAUUAUUGUGCUUGGUAAAAUAUGGGCUAUAAUUCCAACGACUGAACAUAAAACACGUGGUGUUAAUGACAUUAUUUGUAGAUUAAUGGAUACAGGAUGAGGGCAUGACUUCCAGUUUCUGUCUCUUUUUUUUUCUGUUGUUGUUAAUAUGCUACGUAUUAGCGAAAGGUGGUAAUUUUCGUGCAGUAUCACGUUUGAUAUAAAAACACCUGAAGUAUUUUAUUUAUUUCUUGUGAAGUAAUCCUGCAUCUCACCAUAUCUUUAUUUAUUAUUUCACGCCUUAGAGGAGUUUAUCACAAGCUUUCCUCCCAUAUAGGCAUGUCCUACAAACUUUCAAUCUUAAUUUAUCAUGUAAGAUGUUUUUAGCAGUUUCGUAAAAGUAAUGUAACACCCAGCUAUGUAUUUCGCUUAGUGUAUAUAUAUAUAUAUAUAUAUAUAUAUAUAUGAAUAAAUAUGAUUAUACAUGAAACAUUUAUGUUAGUAAUUCUUUUAAUUGCGGUAACGCUCUAGAUGUGAUGAGUUAACCCUAAAUAAAAGUGGAGUAGGAAGUAAGGUUAUUCUGGUAGGGCCAUGUUCUACAUACUUUUAGCCUUGGUUUAUCUUUUAAAAUGUUUUUAGCAGUUUAGUCAUUUGUGUAUUUAACGUAAUGGCUUUACAAACUUACAGAUUUAAGUUUCAGUCCUUCCCCCCUUUUGUCAAUGGGGGGAAUUACUUCAGUCUUAUAAUUUCCGUUUUUGUUUUCAGUGCUUUGAUAAUUGAAGGAAAGAAAAAUGGACAAUCACAAAAAAGUUUAAUAAAUUCUAUAGGAUACGUAGGUUAAGAGAAUAGCCGUGGGUUAAAUUAAACAGGUAUAAGUAGGAGGAAAGUGUCGUGUGUUAGAAGUUGUCUUGCACAUUGUCAGGUGUCGUAGAGUUGAAAACUCUUCAUAAACGUUAUUUAUUCAACAAAAUAUCGAAUUAUAAUUUCCUUUUUUUUGAUAAUGUAUGUCAACGAUUUAUCUAAGUAGUUCAAACGGGUAGAUGAUUUGUGUUCUUCAUUUACAAUAACCAUUUCCAAAGUUUAUUUAAAAUACGUAAGAAUGGAGAAUUGUUCAGGUGUUAUUAUCAGGGGCCCAGUAGAUAUACGUACCUAAUGUUUAUUUAUUAUUAUUAUUAAUUAAUUAUGGUGUUACGGUCAGAUAUAACUGUUAUUAUAGUUAUAAUAGAGCACGUCUUGAUAGAUGUCGUAUGGUUUUUUCUUAUGGUCACUUUAUACUGUUGUUUCCACUACCGUUACACACACACCACAAAAUAACAAAUGUACAUACUGAUGUAUAUGUGUUAUUAUCACACUGUCGGUAAACUGAAUCUGGUAUAGUGGAAAUGGUUUUAUCAUAUACUGUAGAAGGUCACGAUUACAAUAAAUAUAACGGGAAAAUUGAAAUUGGGGCUUGUACUAGAAGACAUUAUACUGCUCUGUCCAUGAUAGUAAUUAGAUACUGGUACGAAUCAAGUGUUUGAUGAUGAACACUAUCUUUAAUGGAAACUUUAUCAUCGCUUAUAUGGAUACACUUCCAGCACAUCGUCAGCGGUUGUUAAACUUAAACCUAAUGGUCUAGGUGUGGCUUACAGUGAUUUUGUGUCGAAUUUUAGUGGUUUAUUCGAUAGCAUGUAGCGUGGUAAUCAGGAGGCUUCUGUUGUGUGAUGUGUUGUUGUUUUUUGUUUGUUUUUUCUGAAGAAAAAUAUAUGUAUAUUAUCUGACAUUGAUAUUCAUUAAGUGUAGCUGUAAUAAUUAUCCAGUGUUCAGUAAAUGGUGUCAUAAACCACAGGUUUAAAGUAGAAAACUUGUGUGUAUUAGAUAUGGCAGUGCUUAUACUGGCAUAAUUAUUUAGGAAGUUUCAUAUAGUUUGAAUAAAGAUAAAUAACUUCAAGAAUGCAGGUGUGUAAUAUUUAUGAUAAUGAAGUAUAUGAAUUAUAUGGUUUGGAGUAUUCAUUACUUGUCGAUACCACUAUUGUGUUUACAAGCUUAAUGCAUGCUAAAAACUAGGUUUUACACAGUACGUAAUAGGUUUAAGUAAAUAGUUUAAUUUGAAAAUUAUACGCUCUUUGUUGGAGUAUAAAAUAUUUGGCGAGAAAAGCAGAAGGUGUUAUGUAAGAUGUAAAGAAUAUUAAAACAAUAUUGAAAUAUUCUCGAAAGCCUCAGGCCCCUUUUUCUUUUUUCCUUGUCUGAGAAUACGUGAAAUGUCUGGUAUCUGAGUACAAACGAUUCUUAUAAACUUUACGUUGUACCUACGUGUCAACCACUAUACUACAUGAAACUUUACACAACAACUUAAAACAAGAGAGAGAGAGGAAGAAUUUU